rnacentral:lncRNA from 1 species
CAGGGACCUUGUAUAGUGAUAAGAAUUCCUUUUAACUGAGUAAAAGACCCUCUGCAUUUACCAGUUGGCUCACCAAUAGGAUAUUAUUUCGGAACCAAUAUUCUAAAAACAAAGAAGUAUUUUUAUACAAUAUAUCCCGAUUAGUCAAUUUGCGUAACGUUAUUGUGUAUUAUAUGUAAUGACGCAGUUUUACGUUAUUACUUAAUUACGUCACCACGCAAUGACGUCACAGCGUAAUUUAGCAACUUUUAGCAACAACUCGACCUGCCUCUAGCAAAUUCUCCUGAAAAUUUGUUGGCAACAAUGGACGUGCCCUUGCCGUAAAGCAAAACGUAUUGACGACGUAAAAGAAAAUGCAACACGGCGACCUCCGUAAUGGCAUGGGGUGUCAGGACAGUUCAUCCCAUGUGUCCCGGUGGGUCUACGAUGGGAGUGGAGGAGACAAGAUGGACAUGACUGUCACAGCCAGUACAACCGUCUUCUGAAUGUUGUUGACAUUAGAGGUCAGAGGAAUGACCAUUGACGAGGCCUUUGCACAGCUUAAGUUCGAC